ensembl:snoRNA SNORD72 small nucleolar RNA, C/D box 72
AGCUUAUCGGUGAUGUUCUAAAAAAAUAAAUGUCUGAACUUAUGAAUUCAAUAUUGAUUUCAUCAUCUAACUGAGAUAAGCU